rnacentral:rRNA from 1 species
AGAUGCUCACUGGGUAUAAAGGGUGCGCAGGCGGUUUUGUAAGACAGAGGUGAAAUCCCCGGGCUCAACCUGGGAACUGCCUUUGUGACUGCAAGGCUGGAGUGCGGCAGAGGGGGAUGGAAUUCCGCGUGUAGCAGUGAAAUGCGUAGAUAUGCGGAGGAACACCGAUGGCGAAGGCAAUCCCCUGGGCCUGCACUGACGCUCAUGCACGAAAGCGUGGGGAGCAAACA